GCUGGCUCCACGGAACUAUUAGUUAGGCUAAGGCAAUUCCCUAGUAAAAAGCAGAUAGAUCCACGCAUUAGAAAGACAAUACAUGCCGCUCAUACCCUAGCGCUAGCACUGAUAACACUUUGUGAUUUCUGAGAUAUGCUAAACAUACCAUUUAACUGCCAUGACAUCCUCUGUGAGAAAAGAAUCAACUUCAACAAAACACUCUAACAUCAACGUAAUUGUAAUGCAAAAUCCUUCCUCUUUGAAAACAAAAUUCUUAUUUUAAGGUUUUCCUCCAUAAGUCUGUGGUACUUGUUGAUCUUCAAAAGCCACAGGGAUGUGAUUCUGGGUCCCCACUCAAGCAGCAGGGUUAGACCAGGUGACUUCCAGGAGUCCCUUUCAACCUCAACCAUUCUGUAUUUCUGUGGUACAGAGCUGAUGCUGCUAAGCAGUGUUUUGAGUAAAAGGUAAUUAAUCCCAAGCAAAAAAUCACUCACAAAAAUCAUUUGCUGUCCAGCUUGUGAAUGUUGGAGACUACACAGCCAUACUUUCACUUCAGCUGCCCUUGCUGCCAAGAGGGCAGGCUUAGGUGCUCACUGUUACAAGCACUGGUGACAUGUUCCUUCCCCGGGAUGAGCUCUUUACCCUAAAAUUAAGUGAACAGAGACUGAAAUCGACUGAACAGAGAUGUUUUCUUCUAGGUUACUAGGAACAGGGGACUGAGGACUGACAAGGAGCUUAAAGACAUUCUUUGUUUCCUAUGGAUUUGCAAUAGGAAGCGGUUUUAUUUCUAUAGUGGCAGGGUGCACUGCUUAUUACCGCCUGCAUUCUGGGUCUGGUUUUUGCUCGGACUAACUACACGCUGCUUGCAGGUGCAAAAGUCCAGCUGAGAGGUCACAGGGAGAAAACAUCUUUUAUUUAAACAGGUGCAAACCCUCUGUGUAAACUGCAUUGCCUUCUGCAGCUUAGUGCACAGCUUGCCUCUGAAUAAAGCUAGACCUGGGAGGGCUUCUCUAUGGACUCACAAACUUGUGAAAUAGCAGGUGGUUUGGAAAGACAUCUGUGUGUUCUUGGAGUUUCAGUUGCUUUUCAGAGAGAAACAUGUGGGAGCACUGGCUUGGUUUGACAGAUUUCAUUCUGUCUUAAAGUUUAUUUGACUGAAAAGAACCAGCUGUGUCUUCAGUUUUUCCUCUACCUACAUUUAUAAAUUGUCAUUUUUUGACAGUAUACUAUUAACCAUAAUAUGACACUAAUGAAGCAAUUCACUUAUAAAUUUGGAAGUAUUUGUUGUACCACAGUAGGAAUAUGUCAGACAUGAAGUACUACCAAGACAAUUCAUGCUGCUCUUUUGUAUUCAAUAUACUUCUAUACUACCCUGAAACCAAUGAAAUCAUGUAAUGUUAAAAAAGGGAUGCAUUUAUUCAUAUGUUCUUGAUUUAAACUCAUUGAAGAAAUCUAAGGUAAAUCUGCUAAUUUUCAUUGGCUGUAGACCAUGCUUCAUAUAGAAUAAGCACUAUCUUUAAGCAUGAUAUAGAAUAAACUUUUUGCCUGGUAUUAAGACAAUCUCUGAGCAGUGAGUAGACAGCUAACCACAGUUGCAUUCUCAAUUAAUAUUGGGUCUUAAAUUUGCUAUAUUUACAUCAGAAUAUCAUAAAGAAAUCCUGCUAAUUGAGGAGUAACUAAUAUCCUGGGAUGAUGACAGAAAUCAUGUCUCUGCUGAUACUCUUUUUAUUGACCUUCUAAAGACUUGUUCAUAACAUACCAUAGAGAAAGCUAUAAGACCAGUCAUGGUUGAUGGGCUCAAAUUAAAGCAACUGUAAGCAUGUGAAACUAACUUGAA